GUGGGGAAUAUUGGACAAUGGGCGCAAGCCUGAUCCAGCAAUGCCGCGUGUGUGAAGAAGGCCUUCGGGUUGUAAAGCACUCUUAUCAGGAGCGAAAGCAUGUCGGCCAAUACCCGGCGUGGAUGACGGUACCUGAGGAAUAAGCACCGGCUAACUUCGUGCCAGCAGCCGCGGUAAUACGAAGGGUGCAAGCGUUAAUCGGAAUUACUGGGCGUAAAGGGUGCGUAGGCGGUUCGUUAAGUCUGUUGUGAAAUCCCCGGGCUCAACUCGGGAAUGGCAAUGGAUACUGGCGAGCUAGAGUGUGUCAGAGGAUGGUGGAAUUCCCGGUGUAGCGGUGAAAUGCGUAGAGAUCGGGAGGAACAUCAGUGGCGAAGGCGACCAUCUGGGACAACACUGACGCUGAAGCACGAAAGCGUGGGGAGCAAAC
rnacentral:rRNA from 1 species